UUGCUGUUAUCCAGGAAAGUAGGAAGUCAGAAGUAAUCCCAGGACUGCAAGUGACUUUUUCUACUGGCACCUGCACUAAAUUCUUCUCAAAUCUCUUACCAGAUGUGCAAAGAUGUAGCAGAUUAUCAAGUGGUAUUGAGUGAUGACUUAAAGCUCCUCACCUUGGAAGACUUUUUUCUGCUGAGAAGAAAUCACUUUUCU